UACGGGGGGAGCAAGCGUUGUUCGGAUUUACUGGGCGUAAAGGGCGCGUAGGCGGCGUGACAAGUCACUUGUGAAAUCUCCGGGCUUAACUCGGAACGGUCAAGUGAUACUGUCGUGCUAGAGUACAGAAGGGGCAGCUGGAAUUCUCGGUGUAGCGGUGGAAUGCGUAGAGAUCCGGAAGAACACCGGUGGCGAAGGCGGCCUGCUGGGCAGUUGCUGACACUGAGGCGCGACAGCGUUGGGGAGCAAACAGG
rnacentral:rRNA from 1 species